CGUUCCUCGCGCAAAAUUUUUUGAUAUAUGAGGAAUACUGCCUGCCCGGUGACUUUUGGUUUAACGGCCGCGGUAUUUUGACCGUGCAAAGGUAGCAUAAUCAUUUGCCUCUUAAAUAGAGGCUGGUAUGAAUGGCAAGACGGGAGUUUAACUGUCUCUUUCUUAGGGAAUUAGAAUUUAAUCUUUCUGUGAAGAAGCAGAAAUAUAAUCGUAGGACGAGAAGACCCUGUUGAGCUUUAAACUAAGAAAGUAAAUAUCGAAGACAUCUUUUUUCUAAUAUAUUAUACAGAAAACGGAAAUUAAAUGAGGAUGUUGUGGUAUUUUGCUUUUUUGUUUUGGUUGGGGCAAUCACGGAGAAAAUACAACCUCCGGUAAAUAAAAAGUAAAAAGAGACUUCUUUUGCUGUAAGUUUUAAAUUUAUAGAAGUGAUCCACUUGGUAGAGUGAAUAAAGGAAUAAGUUACCACAGGGAUAACAGCGUAAUUCUUUUGGAGAGUUCAUAUUGAUAAAGGAGUUUGCGACCUCGAUGUUGGAUCGGGAUUUCCUGGAGAUGCAGCGGUUUCUAAGGGUUGGUCUGUUCGACCAUUAAAAUCCU
rnacentral:rRNA from 1 species